rnacentral:rRNA from 1 species
AAUGAACGUUGGCGGCGUGGAUUAGGCAUGCAAGUCGUACGGUAAGCUUCGGCUUAUAGUGGCGAAAGGGAGAGUAACGCGUGGUUACAUGCCCUCGGGACCGGGAUAGCGGCGGGAAACUGCCGGUAAUACCGGAAAAUAACUUUGGAUCAAAGGUGUGACUCCGCCCGCGGAUUGGACCGCGUUCUAUUAGCUAGUUUGUAGGGUAACGGCCUACCAAGGCGAUGAUGGGUAGCGGGUGUGAGAGCACGACCCGCGUCAUUGGGACUGAGACACUGCCCAGACACCUACGGGUGGCUGCAGUCGAGAAUCUUCGGCAAUGGGCGCAAGCCUGACCGAGCGACGCCGCGUGUGGGAUGAAGGCCUUCGGGUUGUAAACCACUGUUAGAGGGGAUGAAAUGCAGGUGGGUUCUCCCAUCUGUUUGACAUAGCCUCAGAGGAAGGACGGGCUAAGUUCGUGCCAGCAGCCGCGGUAAUAC